GGGUUGUGAGGUUAAGCGACUAAGCGUACACGGUGGAUGCCCUGGCAGUCAGAGGCGAUGAAGGGCGUGCUAAUCUGCGAUAAGCGCCGGUAAGGUGAUAUGAACCGUUAUAACCGGCGAUACCCGAAUGGGGAAACCCAGUGUGAUUCGUCACACUAUCAUUAACUGAAUCUAUAGGUUAAUGAGGCGAACCGGGGGAACUGAAACAUCUAAGUACCCCGAGGAAAAGAAAUCAACCGAGAUUCCCCCAGUAGCGGCGAGCGAACGGGGAGGAGCCCAGAGCCUGAAUCAGCAUGUGUGUUAGUGGAAGCGUCUGGAAAGGCGCGCGAUACAGGGUGACAGCCCCGUACACAAAAGCGCAUGUGCUGUGAGCUCGAUGAGUAGGACGGGACACGUGGUAUCCUGUCUGAAUAUGGGGGGACCAUCCUCCAAGGCUAAAUACUCCUGACUGACCGAUAGUGAACCAGUACCGUGAGGGAAAGGCGAAAAGAACCCCGGCGAGGGGAGUGAAAAAGAACCUGAAACCGUGUACGUACAAGCAGUGGGAGCACAGGUUUACCUGUGUGACUGCGUACCUUUUGUAUAAUGGGUCAGCGACUUAUAUUCUGUAGCAAGGUUAACCG
rnacentral:rRNA from 1 species